UGGCUAAUUUGGAUCGAAGCGAUUCGAUGACAUUUUAUAGGAGUUAUCUACCUUUACAAAAUAAAUUUGUCGGUAUGUUUUUUUAACUCAUAAACAGUUAACCGUAUAACCCUGGAAUGUUUUUAUUUGCGGCCCCUAGGUCCUAACUUAGAAAAUGAGGUCAAGGUCAAAGGUCAAGGUCAAGUUCUCAAUUGUGACUUUUGCUUGUUUUUGCAUUUUCUCCAACACUUUGAAAGAUACAUAUAAAAGAACAAGUGCAAAAUGUUUGCUUCAUUGUAAUGAAGAUAUGCUACAUUUAGUCUUAUACAAUUUAAUGGCAUCUUAUAGGAGUUGGUGCCCCUGAAAUGUCAUGAUAUGAGGUUAUUUGAUUAUAACUUCAACUAAGUUCAUUAUAAAGGCAUUUGACCUUUUACAAAAGGUUAGGUGACAAAUGACCUUGAAAAAUGACUACCGGAAGUGACCUUG
rnacentral:lncRNA from 1 species